GCGACCAAUAUAGAAACAGUGACGACAAAAAAAACCCCCUAAAAGAAAAUAUAAAAGUACACGCAGCUGAACAGUCGUUGUCUUUGACUUGCCCAGUUCUUCAUUUUCCGAUCGGCCCCAACAAAGAAAAUAUACACCGCUGCUGUCUUAUCGAGCGGCGCUUUACAAAUCUGUAAGUAAAGUAAAUGUUUCGUGCUGUGCGUCCGCUACUUGUUUGAUGAAAUGCCGCACUGAAAUGUAAUUAUACUGUCUAGGUUUUAUGUUACUUAAUUAUGAUCUAUAGGCGCAUCCAUAAGUUUCUGGUUGGUUCAAAUUAUUACCAUUUGUCCGAGAUUAAUGGAGCCGUCCCGUUGCAUUUGAUGUUUUGUUGUCAUUAUCACUCCCAUGGAGAAGCUUUGCCUUUAAAAUGGUAUGAGAAAGCAUACCCAACUAUUGUGAAAUUGACUCAUGAGUUACAGAAUGUGGAUUUGAUUGAUGGGAGGAUGGUUAAUGUUAAUGAUGGCUCUGUCGUUAUGGAUGAUUGUGUUGCGGAAAAAAUGCACGCGUUGAAGUCGCUUGCACGAGUUUUUAUUGGAUCCCCGGUGGUUCAGAGAAAUCUAAGGGAAAGUAUGAAACCAUUGUCAGCCAACCCGGUUGAUUGUUUUCGUGAAUUAAGCGAAAGAGAGCCUAUAGUUGUGAAUUCACUCACCAAGAUUAGUAAUUUCCUCAAUGUAUCUGCGCAACAGAGGAAGGUGGUUCGCCAUACGAUAUGCCCUCAGGUAACUCAGCAUCGGAUAUGGACGGGUGCGCUUAAGGAGACACUGAAUGGUUUGAAGUCGGAUAUGGACUCCUUGUGCUAUAAACAUUCCGGAAAAGAGAAUGAUAACAUAGCGCAGCAGAUAGUUUCUAGCUGUUUGAAGUUCUUAGCUGAUGUUGACAAUUCAGAACAUGGCUGCACUUCAUGGACGCGUAUCAGAACCUCUAAAAGUGUUGAAUCUCAUUGUUCUGGUAAGUGGGAAGAUCUUCUUGAAAUGUUUAAUGAUCUCAUCCGUUGUUUGGCAAGUAAGCAAGAAUUACUUUAUCAUUUUGGGAAACUUGAGGUAAUGAAAGAAGGUUUGUCUCAGAUUAAGGAUUUGCUGGUUGAUAAGGGUAUUGGAUUUAAGGAGGUACGGUAUCAAGAAGGACUGGUGCAGAAGCAGCUUUCCAAGACGCUCGGUCACUCCUCACGUUGUUUGUUCACACUUUUAUCGUAUUACCUAUAUGGAUAUGUUAGGGACAUUGAAAUUGACUUAUGUGGUGGAAUUUAUGGUGGUGGUGAUGGGACUCAAUUUUGUUUGUGUAUGGGAAGGAUUUUGACUUUGGAUGAAGAGAAUAUGGUUAGGAGUGGGCUUAAGCAGUUGGACAGAGCUCUUGGACUAUACAAGUUUAUAUGGGAAACGUCAGGGAUGAAAGGGGUUCUGGAAUUGCAAGGCCAUCUGUGGUGUGUUGGGGCUAAGGAGAGGACACUCACAUACAAAGGAAACUUAUUCUUUGUUCAUGGUAUCAGUUUAUGACAAAAAUGGUAAUAAAGAACUAAACCAGUUUCAAGUUCGUGAAUUGAUCAUAUCGCUCCAAGCUGAAAGUUAUAGAGUUGUUCCCAUUAUUAUUACUUUUCUAUCGAACUUUUUAAUACAGAUCAAUCCUUAAUUCCAGAGCACUCAUCUCUAUGUAUUGCUUAAAAUGAAAAGCCUGUUCAUUGUACAAGGAUGUUCUGCUCUUGCUUUGUUAGAUGGUUUCCAAACAUGUCAUAAAGCUUUGCAUAAAUCACAUGAGCUUCUGCAACUAAAACUCUAUGGCGACGUUAUAACUGAGUAGAUUCUACAUGGUAACAGUAGCAUGGGAAAAAUACAAAAAUCAAUCACUCGUAAAGGAAACAAAUAAACGAAGCUUGCAUAGAGGAAAAAUGGUGAUCAAAGAUUGGCUGAGAGAUAAAUAAUGGUACCAUAAGAUUCAUAUGAAUACAAGAAAGCAAGUGGAAUGAUACAUUACUUGACCUGUAAAAUGGAACACACAGCCUGUAUGAAAGUGAGCACAAGAAGAAUAACUGCUGCAAUGACAGAAAUGGCCGCCCAUGGAGUAUUGAAGUAAUUAUGUUUUAGUGUCGCCUUCCACUUAUGCCAACGGACUUUGCAGUAGUCAUUAAGGUCUCCGCAGAGGCGAGAAUAGUAGAACACUUCGGAAUCAUAUAGUAGUUCUUUGGCAAGGUUGUUAAAAAGCAUUGAAGCUUCUGCAUUGUCAGCCAGCAUGAUUUUCAUAAUUCCGUACUUAACCAGUAAUUCCACAUCAUUAGGAGUGUUUAUAAGGGUAUCCAUGAACACAAUGUAGUCACUAAUGUAUGAAACUUCACAAUGGCACUGCUCAAGUGCGAUAAGAUUCCGGAAAAGGACUUCUGUUAUCUCAGUCACCCUUAUGAAGGGUAUUUCCAGAACGCCAUCAGAAAAUUGUAUGUCCAGUAAGUGUGCUGUUGAUGCUACCUUAAAUUUGACUCCAGCUUCAUGCAGCUCAGUUAAGCUUCUAGUCACUUCAAACUUCACUCCCCAUUUCGAUAGCUGCCUUGGUUUUAUGGGUCUAAGCCGGAGUCUGAGGAAGUCUACAAAAUGCUUUACUUCUGAGCUUUCCACAGAUUGGGGAGCACGUUUUAGUCGCACAUAGCAUUCGAAGUAGGCAUGGGUUAGGUCAAGAAUGGAAGGCCACCGAAUUGAACUAGAAGGAGCUUUGCUAUUGGCAAAGUCCAAGACAUGUCCAAGAAUAAAGUAGGGAAGCUGAUUUUCAAUCAACAACAUGUCGCGAUAUAUGUCAAACAUAAGGUUGGAUCUAUUGUAUAUUGAUUCAAUAGCACAUGUUAACUUAGGAAAAGCUGUUCCCAAUAAAAUAUCAAUGAUGAAGGUGGCAUCGACAAUCAUUAUCUGCACAAAUUCAUCGCUGGUCAUCUCAAUGGUAUCAGCAUAACAGUUUCGUGCCAUUUCUUCGCUGUCUUUUAUGAUUUGUACCAGAUCAUCCAAGUUGACAUUGGUCUGCUUCAGAAAAUUCUGCAAAUGCCUCCAUUUGUGCUCUUCCAUAGCUUUCAAGUCACCCUUGCCAUGGUGAAAAGGACCAAUUGAAACUAGUCGAGGGGUGUACGCGUACUCAUUUACAUCUCGGAAUUUUUUGGGAACUCUAUAAAUACAGCGUUCUGAGGAUACAACAGAUAAAUUUUCCAACCUGCUUUUCAUAGAGGUUAGCAACAGACUGGCUUGUGGAUAUUCAAAAUCACUUGAGACAUUGUUGGCCAUUUCUCUUGUAACCUCCUCCAUCAGAUCCAGAUCAGAAUGCAGCAAGAGUUGAGUUCGGCGAGAUAGGAUAUGAGACUGAAGGAAGUACAUGAGAUGAGACAGAUUGAAAUGAACCUGUUCUCAAGCUUUUAUGCUUCUGUUUAAAUCUGAUUCUAGCAUUUUCUUUUCUUU